UCCCUCGUGGCGCAAUUGGCUAGCGCGUCAGACUGUUAUUCCUGAUCAAGGAGCCUCUUCACCGAGGAAUAGACAUCUGGAGGCUGUAAGUUCGACCCUUACCGAGGGAG